GUAAAAGGAUGUAGAUUUAGAAACAUUGUGUACUAUAGUCAAGUCGUGUUUCAUCCACAUAAAUGUAAUGUAUUCUGGAGAGUAUUUUAGAUGAAGCUGCUUCAGUGUGGCCAAUUUUGAUUAGAAGGUUGAAUCAUUUUCCUUUUCCAUUAUUUAAUAAGCACUCAAUGAAAUGAUGUCGUGAGAGAAAUGAAAAUAAGUCUUCUUGAGUCUCUAUCUCACCAAUAACAUUUUCAAAUCGUAAUAUGCAGCGUAUUAGUUAACGCUGAGCAAAAGAAAAGACAGAAAAUAAGCUAGCUAGCAAGUGCGGGUAUUGUGCGCUGCCAACCAUAGUCAUUUGUUCAUUCGAAAGGAGGAUAUGCAAGAUUUUGUGACUUUUUGAACCAGCUUGUUUUUGUCAGUAGCUGACUGUCUUUGUUAAUAUAUUUAUUUAUACCACCAUAUUUCUUUACAUUGUAUAGAUGCUCUUUUGAUACCCCAUCUUUACAAUCAUAAGUUAGCAUUAAGCUAACCGACUUCAAAGCAAAACUAUGCGAUUGUUUUAAAUACAAAAUGUGUAAUUAUUUUUGUUUUAUGUUUAUUUUGACAGUAAACUUCAACAGGGAUGGUGAUUAAACAGUUUAAAGCCUCUUUUUGGAAUACCAUCCCGAUUUAAUAACUUUUAAUAUAGAUGUCAUCACAGCAGGUUUAAAUCACUCAGAUGAGGUUUGCACAUCAUCAGAAAGGGACACAAAAAAACACAGUAUCAUGGUAUCAUGUCUAUUUUCCCGACUUGCCUUGUGAAAAGCCCUAAAUGAUUGAUGAACAAUCUACAUUUUUGAGGCACAAUUAAUGAUGAGGGGAAUCGUGGGCAGAUGGAUUUUCAAAGCCUCACUCAUUUGGGGCAAACAAUAGCGGGAAGCUCUGCAACCAGCUUCUGCAUUGAGCCAGUGUGCUCAAAAAAGUCAAUAUACCCUCUCUUGCCCACUGAUCCAAUUCACCAGCGCUCAGGUCGUGCAUUCGUUAGGCAACGGUGUGCAAACUGAGUUAAACACAUGGUUGGGAUGGAUCUGUAAUUAGCACACAGAACACGUUAUUGAUGAAACAAUUUGUUCUUGCACUGAAUGAGCGGUGACUUUGAAUUCCCUGCGUCCUUUGUGAUAAGAGCGCAAUCAAUAAUGACUCCCCUAUCACCACAAGGCUAAGUCAAGGCGAGUAUCACCCAAAUAAACAGUUACCAACACAAGACAAUUUUCAUAGAGGAGAAAUAAUAUAUGCCUGUGAGGAUUGUUAUAUUAUCAGUCUGCAUGUGUAGCUGCUUGUGUUGCUAUCUAUGCCAUUUUGUAUCUGUGCAUUAAGCUAGCAAGUUUUUAUAAGGCAAAGUUACAAAUUAAAUGGACAAUGUGUAAAAAAAAUUGUAUUGAAAUAAAAAAAAAAACAUGAAAUGAA